AUGUGGAAUGAUGAUCUGCAAGUUCAUGUUCAUAGUGCUAGCUUCCAUGUUAUCUUAGCUACUGCUGUACAUAGUACUAGCAAUCUGAAGUUUGGCUUAGUGUGUAUCUAUGGUGAUCAGUAUCAUCGUCAAACUUGUCAAAUCUGGAGUGAGGUGGUUGCUUUAGCGUAUAAUAACUCCAGUUUACCCAUGCUAUGUAUAGGGGAUAUGAAUGAGCUUUUGUAUGAUAUGGAUACAAACUCCCUUAAUAUAAAUCGCUCUCGCAUGUAUGGUUUUCGUGCUUUAGUGAAACAAUGCGGUCUCUUUGAUUUGGGUUUCAGUGGUCCAGCAUACACUUGGACAAAUAAAAGAUUUGCCUCUAAACCCACUUUUGAAAGAUUGGACAGAUGCUUGGUAAAUGCUGAAUGGUGUGCUGCUAAUCCUAUUUCUAAUGUUUACAACAUGCCUAUUAUCCACAAUCUGAGUGAUCAUGCUGCAAUCUUGCUGUCCACAGAAGGUCGCACUUGUAAUAUAAAAUGCUCUUUUAAGUUUAAAAAUUGGUGGCUUAAAGAACAAGAUUUCUUAAACCAUGCAAGAUCAGUUUGGCUUUCUUCAAAAAAUAAAUCCUUCUCAAAUAGAAUUAACCAUCUUGCAGGCUCUCUGAAGAUAUGGUGUAAGAAAAAGAAGCCACUGAAUCAGGAACUAAAUAAUUUAGAGGAGUAG
rnacentral:rRNA from 1 species